GGUUAAGUGGGAAACGAUGUGGGAAGGCCCAGACAGCCAGGAUGUUGGCUUAGAAGCAGCCAUCAUUUAAAGAAAGCGUAAUAGCUCACUGGUCGAGUCGGCCUGCGCGGAAGAUGUAACGGGGCUAAACCAUGCACCGAAGCUGCGGCAGCGACACUAUGUGUUGUUGGGUAGGGGAGCGUUCUGUAAGCCUGUGAAGGUGGCCUGUGAGGGUUGCUGGAGGUAUCAGAAGUGCGAAUGCUGACAUAAGUAACGAUAAAGCGGGUGAAAAGCCCGCUCGCCGGAAGACCAAGGGUUCCUGUCCAACGUUAAUCGGGGCAGGGUGAGUCGACCCCUAAGGCGAGGCCGAAAGGCGUAGUCGAUGGGAAACAGGUUAAUAUUCCUGUACUUGGUGUUACUGCGAAGGGGGGACGGAGAAGGCUAUGUUGGCCGGGCGACGGUUGUCCCGGUUUAAGCGUGUAGGCUGGUUUUCCAGGCAAAUCCGGAAAACCAAGGCUGAGGCGUGAUGACGAGGCACUACGGUGCUGAAGCGACAAAUGCCCUGCUUCCAGGAAAAGCCUCUAAGCAUCAGGUAACAUCAAAUCGUACCCCAAACCGACACAGGUGGUCAGGUAGAGAAUACCAAGGCGCUUGAGAGAACUCGGGUGAAGGAACUAGGCAAAAUGGUGCCGUAACUUCGGGAGAAGGCACGCUGAUAUGUAGGUGAAGCGACUUGCUCGUGGAGCUGAAAUCAGUCGAAGAUACCAGCUGGCUGCAACUGUUUAUUAAAAACACAGCACUGUGCAAACACGAAAGUGGACGUAUACGGUGUGACGCCUGCCCGGUGCCGGAAG
rnacentral:rRNA from 1 species